AUACGGAGGGGGCUAGCGUUGUUCGGAAUUACUGGGCGUAAAGCGCACGUAGGCGGAUUAAAAAGUUAGAGGUGAAAUCCCAGGGCUUAACCCUGGAACUGCCUUUAAAACUAGUAGUCUAGAGUUCGAGAGAGGUGAGUGGAAUUCCAAGUGUAGAGGUGAAAUUCGUAGAUAUUUGGAGGAACACCAGUGGCGAAGGCGGCUCACUGGCUCGAUACUGACGCUGAGGUGCGAAAGCGUGGGGAGCAAACAGGAUUAGAAACCCGGGUAGUCC
rnacentral:rRNA from 1 species